AAGGAAUAUUGGUCAAUGGACGCAAGUCUGAACCAGCCAUGCCGCGUGAAGGAUGAAGGUCCUCUGGAUUGUAAACUUCUUUUAUCUGGGACGAAAACGGGAUUUUUAUCUCAAUUGACGGUACCAGAGGAAUAAGCACCGGCUAACUCCGCGCCAGCAGCCGCGGUAAUACGGAGGGUGCGAGCGUUAUCCGGAUUUACUGGGUUUAAAGGGUGCGUAGGUGGGCUUAUAAGUCAGUGGUGAAAUCUCCGAGCUUAACUUGGAAACUGCCGUUGAUACUAUAGGUCUUGAAUUAUCUGGAGGUAAGCGGAAUAUGCCAUGUAGCGGUGAAAUGCUUAGAUAUGACAUAGAACACCAAUUGCGAAGGCAGCUUACUACAUAUAAAUUGACGCUGAGGCACGAAAGCGUGGGGAUCAAACA
rnacentral:rRNA from 1 species